AUUGAACGCUGGCGGCAUGCCUUGCACAUGCAAGUCGAACGGCAGCACGGGUGCUUGCACCUGGUGGCGAGUGGCGAACGGGUGAGUAAUGCAUCGGAACGUGCCCAGUCGUGGGGGAUAACGCAGCGAAAGUUGUGCUAAUACCACAUACGUCCUGAGGGAGAAAGCAGGGGAUCUUCGGACCUUGUGCGAUUGGAGCGGCCGAUGUCAGAUUAGCUAGUUGGUGAGGUAAAAGCUCACCAAGGCGACGAUCUGUAGCUGGUCUGAGAGGAUGAUCAGCCACACUGGAACUGAGACACGGUCCAGACUCCUACGGGAGGCAGCAGUGGGGAAUUUUGGACAAUGGGGGCAACCCUGAUCCAGCCAUGCCGCGUGAGUGAAGAAGGCCUUCGGGUUGUAAAGCUCUUUCGGCCGGGAAGAAAUCGUGCAGGCUAAUACCCUGUAUGGAUGACGGUACCGGAAUAAGAAGCACCGGCUAACUACGUGCCAGCAGCCGCAGUAACAC
rnacentral:rRNA from 1 species